AAGUCGUAACAAGGUCUCCGUUGGUGAACCAGCGGAGGGAUCAUUACCGAGUUUACAACUCCCAACCCUUUGUGAACAUACCUAUCGUUGCCUCGGCGGGCUGCCCGCGCCAGCGCGCUGGACCAGGCCCAGCCGGACCGGCAGAGCCAAACCAUCUUCUGUUUCUCAAGUUUCUUCUGAGUGGCUUUCGAGCAAAAAUAAAUUAAAA
rnacentral:misc_RNA from 1 species